GAGAAUUAGAUAAAAAAUAUGAAGUCUUAUUAAUUUGUUUGUUUCUUCUUUUUUUUCUAUUUCUGGAAGCCAGGUCUUUUCAUUCUUGGAGAUAUACUGAUUAAUGGGAAUCGUGAGUGAUGUCGUAAGUUGUCUUUAUGAAAUCGAAAAAAAAAAAAAAAAAAAAAAAAAAAUAUUAUCUUUUUUGGAGUUUUUUAAUCUUUUUUUUAUAUAAGAAAGAAGAGAAAGAAA
rnacentral:ribozyme from 1 species